UAACCCUACUUGUGAGAGUAGGCUGAACUUACAGAAGUCAGCAGACGCCAUAGUACGCAGGUUGUUGCAACGAUCUGCGGAAGGGC
rfam:Paenibacillus sp. IHBB 10380, complete genome.